AUGAAUCUUAAACAAGCAAACAAACAAACAAAAACCAACAACCAGGAACAAAAGAAUCUCCAUAUUCCAGGCCAUUCAAAUGUCCAGAUCUCAUCAAUAGAAUUAAUUUACUCACAGAGUCCUUCCCCUGCAGUGGGAGAUCAAAGACUACAAACCAUGUUAAUGUCAUUACACAGCUGACGAUGUAGCACUCGCUUGGUCUGACCUAUAUAUCAGGGACUGAGUGAACUAGAGCAAGAGAAAGCAGAAAGGAUGCAACUAGAACUACCCCUCAUCCCAUUUACAUGGGUACUCUUACUGAGUAUAUCAGCUUUUUUGUACAGGCAUCAGAAUCUUGAAGCUAAAAAAAUUAAAGCCUUUAAUUACUAAUAGCUGGGAUCUGUGUUCUAAGUAGUUGGGAAUUGUCUAUUUUUCAACCUCAUUUCUAAUGUGCCUUUUAUUAUUUUUGGAAUGUUCUGACCUCGUUGGCAACAGUUGAAUUCGUUUUCAAACAUGGCCUCCAAAUCAGACAGCAAUUCCAGCCUGGUGGGGUGGGUGAGCUGGGCUGUGGAGCCGGGCUGACUAGGGGCCUUGUCCAAACGCAUGUGCAGCAGGGCCUUAGGCUAGUCACUAAACUUCUCUGUCUCUAUUUCCUAAGUAUUACACAGAGAUAAAGAUACUCACUGGGCUGUAUCUCCAGGAUCUAGAGCAAAUAUUUCAACAAAUAUUUGUUAGUUAAAGUAACAAUUAGCAAUUAUGAAUGUGAAAUGUCUGGUACCUAGAAAAUACUCAUUAAGUGAUAGCUAUUGUCAUAUUAACAUAAGCUAUGGGGAGGAUGUUGAAGGAGAGAAGCAGAAAGCAAAAAAUUUCAGAUAGUCCAGAUCACCGGUAAGAGUCCAAGAUUAGAUGCUAGGGCCAGCGUGAGUUUGAAAAUGUGGAAAAUUAAUAUUGACAGUUUGGAAGAAGAGAGGGAGUUGCUCUGAAUUAGGCUCAGUGUUCAGGGUUACCAACUGCCUGUCCAAACGGAAACUACACCUGUGGCUUUUUAAUAAUGUGUAAAUGUGAAUAAUCAACUCAUCAAGGUAAAGUCCUUAAGCUUUUUCUACCCAAUAUCAUUCCUAUACCCAAAGCCAUAUUGCAGAAAGAACUGAUAAAUGCAUGUUUUCUUAAUGCUACUGUGUGGCAGGAAUUUAAGUUAUAAUCUCUUUUCAAGGCACGUCUUUAUUAAAAGGGAAUUAUUCAAAGCCACCUGAGUGGCAAUUACUGCAUAAAGGCUAAUUGACCUAAUUAAUCUAAUGUGGGUCAAUGGCUCUAUACUACCCAAAGAACAUUUUCAAAUGAAAGGGGGGGAAAAAAAAGGAACUCCAAAAGGAAUUUCUUUAAGUGAACAUCUUUAAAUAUUGUGAGUCUGAUUUAUUUCUUGCACACAGAUAUAAUAUUGCAGCAUAUUAUAUUGCUGGAGUGGCUGAGCUGGGAUAAAAAGAGAUAGACUAAUUCUCUGAGGAUCCUGAGGAAUAUUCUGUUCAUCACUCAGGGGAAGGCACUAUAUAAAUUGCAUUAUAACAAUACUGCCUCUUUCUGAACAUAGCACCAAAAGAGGAAUUCAACAUGACAAGAAGUCAAAUUUACUAUCAUACUGUUUUGAUUCUCUUGGUGAUGUGAUAAAGUGCAUGCUGAUACCUGCUUUUUAUUUGAUUAACUUCAGCUUCUUUGAAUGCCAACUUGUUCCAUUUGAAGUACUGACUGCCAAAUAUAAACUGGGACUGAUAAUAUCUGGGUCCUAUGACUGAGGAGAGAAUGUAUAAUAUACACCUGUGGUAGGCAAAAUAAGGCCCCCAAAGAUACUCAUGUUUUAAUCUCCCAUAUUCGUGAAUGUGUCAAAUUACAUGGCAGAAGGGACCUUGAACAUAUGAAGUUAAGGGUCUUGGGAUGGGGAGAAUAUCCUGGAUCAUCCAGGUGGGCCGCAUGUACUCACAAGCUGUUCUUAUAAAUGAAGGAAGUAAGCAAGAGAGUCAGAGAAGGAGAUGGAAGGAUGGAAGCAAAGGCCAGAGAGAGAAAGAAAGGGAGACAGAUUUGAAGAAGCUACACUGCUAGCUUCAAUGAUGGGAAAAAGAGCCCCAAGUCAAGGGAUGCAGGCGGCUUCUGGAAAAGUCAAGGAAAUGGAUUCUCCCCUAGAGCCUCCAGAAGAGAUGUAGCUCUGGAUUUUAAAGUCAAACCGCCUUGAUUUUAGCCCAGUGACACUGAUUUUUGGACUUCUGACCUCUAGACAUAUAAGUAAUAAAUUUGUGUUGUUUUAAGCCAGAGUUUGUGGUGAUUUGUUAUAGCAGCAAGGGAAACUAAUGUGCCACCUUUGGGCUCAUGGCACAGAGCUACACUGAUGUCAUUUUAGUUGAAUUGAAAUGACUUUCCCAAACUGCACCUAUAAUCCAAGACCGAGCUAUGACGUAAACCAGGGAAGCACCACAGCAGAAGCUCUUCCUUUGCCUUUUAUUCAUCAAAGCUCACUUUGCUAGCUCCUUUAUUCUGAGGCCUUUAGAGAAAUGGAAAGUGAGUGAGGGGCUUCCUAAAUGUGAGAAGAAAUCAAUCCUGUCAUGAGUUAAUUCCCCUCUCCUAGGGUUUUAAACCCCAAAGAUAUUUUCUAAAAAGAUAUUUUCAACCAUAAACAGUGUCUUUUAAUCAACUUGGCCUCUGUUCUGUACUCAAAAUUAAACAAGCAUGAACCACUUAGAGGAUGAGGAAAAUGUCCACAAAGCCUUUAGAAAGUGGUUAAGUGUCUUCACUGGGAGUGCCUGGACAGGAUAUGCCAUUGGGUUAAUAGGGUAGAAUGGGAAGGAGCUUAGAGCAGCUGAUCAAAAUCUUACAUGGGGCGGAGAAAUUAAAAAAAAUGGUACUAUGAACAGCCACUGUGCUAAGGAGCACUUACAUCCGUUAUGUAACAUUAUCCUAUUAUCCCAUGCUUACCAUCCCUACUUUUAACGAGGAAAGUAAAGCUGAAGAAAUGGCACCAUCCCUACUCCAAGCCCAAGCUGUUAACCUCCACUCCACAUCAGAACUUCCCUGCCUAUCACUCAGAAAAUUUUCUAUAUGACAAAGCCAUGGCAGAUUUGUUGUUUUCUUGAUGUUCUGAGUGUGCCACCCCAGCAAAUUCUUGAAAUUGCAGGGAGAGUUUGCAAGAAGAAAUGUGUAUAUCACAUACGACACCAAGCCAAGUGCUAUUGCCAAAUGCAGUCAGAGAAUGGGCAGGUUGUGUGGUGCAAGCUUGGCUUUCUCUAAAGCGCACAGUUCUGAUGGGGCCAAUGGAAACGCCUGUUAACUGAUGACAUGAUAGUGACUCCGUUAGAAGAAAAGCAAACAAUGAAAAUAAUAAGUGCACAUUUGGAUUCUGACCAUUGCAAUGGUCCCAGUGAGGAAGAAAAGCUGGAGGAAUCCAGUGAGGUAGCAAACUUUUAGUUGGAUAGCAAGUUUUCUGACGGACAUGGAUGAACAGUGAACGGGCUGACACAUACCCAAGGUCUUGGAGUAACUCAAGUCUUAGAGGAAGACAAAUGUCCAGAAACAGGUAAAAAUGCUAAAGAAAAUUAAAAAUUUAGAGCACGGGGAGUUCUGGGAAGGAAAAAGCCCCAGCUUGAAAAUACUGAUGCUAAGUUAGCUUAUAGUAGCAGUGAAGAAAAGAACUUCUCCACUCCUAUUUUACUACCUUUUUUUUUUCCCCUGGGAAAGAAGACUGGAAGAUUGACUGGAAAGAAUGGAAUAAAUGUUAGUAAAAAGGACUGGAGCCCCAGCUUGUCCAAGAUUCCACAUCUGAACCAUUGCAUCCCAAGGGAAGGGGUAUGUAUAUACUGGAAAUCAGGGGGAUUUUAUAGACAAAGAGUAUUGGGAUUUCAGCCUCACCAAGAAUCUCAUGAUACCCUUAUGAAAGAACUAUGCGCUGGCUGUUCCAGUAUGUUUUAAAUGAUCUUCAAUGGUAGGCUCCAUGCUGGGCUCUCCAAUGAGGGGCU